GAUGAACGCUGGCGGCGUGCCUAAUACAUGCAAGUCGAGCGAACAGACGAGGAGCUUGCUCCUCUGACGUUAGCGGCGGACGGGUGAGUAACACGUGGAUAACCUACCUAUAAGACUGGGAUAACUUCGGGAAACCGGAGCUAAUACCGGAUAAUAUAUUGAACCGCAUGGUUCAAUAGUGAAAGACGGUUUUGCUGUCACUUAUAGAUGGAUCCGCGCCGCAUUAGCUAGUUGGUAAGGUAACGGCUUACCAAGGCGACGAUGCGUAGCCGACCUGAGAGGGUGAUCGGCCACACUGGAACUGAGACACGGUCCAGACUCCUACGGGAGGCAGCAGUAGGGAAUCUUCCGCAAUGGGCGAAAGCUUGACGGAGCAACGCCGCGUGAGUGAAGAAGGUCUUCGGAUCGUAAAACUCUGUUAUUAGGGAAGAACAAAUGUGUAAGUAACUAUGCACGUCUUGACGGUACCUAAUCAGAAAGCCACGGCUAACUACGU
rnacentral:rRNA from 1 species